UACGAAGGGGGCUAGCGUUGUUCGGAAUUACUGGGCGUAAAGCGCACGUAGGCGGACUACUAAGUCAGGGGUGAAAUCCCGGGGCUCAACCCCGGAACUGCCUUUGAUACUGAUAGUCUCGAGUCCGGAAGAGGUGAGUGGAAUUCCGAGUGUAGAGGUGAAAAUUCGUAGAUAUUCGGAGGAACACCAGUGGCGAAGGCGGCUCACUGGUCCGGUACUGACGCUGAGGUGCGAAAGCGUGGGGAGCAAACAGG
rnacentral:rRNA from 1 species